rnacentral:lncRNA from 1 species
UUUUUUCCAAAUGAAAAGAGGAGCUUCAAUCUUGUACCCCUCCCUCUCAUGACUACUGCUAUAUAAUAGAAGAUGUCAAGAGAGAAGGGGAAAACAGAUUCAUUCAAACCUCUCUCUAGGUCUACCCAUUGUGCUCAGCUAUUGAUAUAAAAUGUGCACAGGACACUUUACCCCACCACCCGUGGGCAAAAGAAACACCACGGUCAUUCUAUUGUUUCUCACAAAUAAAAUCUUGCCAGAGCCCUCAGCUGCCUCAGUCAUCAUCAGAGAGCCCCCAGCUCCUGCUAGAAGAGUAAAGCAAUCCCCACCAGUUUUUACUUAAUUUGUUACCUCCUUAGUGUUGCUGCACUGGCCGUCCUUCCCAACUGGGCAUCCCUUGGUCUUUGCUGUCGUCCUGGUUAUGUCCCCUGAUGUUAAUCAUCCUUCACACCAUUUAAUUCACUCAUUUCUUUACUGGUUUAUUUUUCACUGAUUUGUGGUUCACUCUGAGGUAUGCCAAGACCUACAGAAACAUAACUACUGGCCUCUCCAUCCUGGGGUGAGGGAGGGGGUAGCAAUGUCAAUUUAUUUUUUAAUCCAUAUGCUCCACACACUGACCUGACUUACUGUUUGCUGCAAAUCCAUGUGGUAGAAAAUAUCACAGCUACUGUGUCAGUAAGGUUGACGCCAGCAGGGUUAAAGGAUUUGGCCUGUCUAAAGCAGAUAAAUGAGGGGUCCUCAAUUAACAACCAGGUCUGGCUGACACCAAGUAUAGCUCAGUGGCAGACCCUCCACCUCCAAAGCCAGCAACCC